rnacentral:sRNA from 1 species
AUCGGUUUGGAACACAGACCUUAUGAAAGCAGUUUUAGUAAAGCAGUCCUCAGCUUAAGUGUUAUCCAUAGAUAUCCUUCUUCGUGAGCCUCCUCCUAAGUGCCCAAUAAGUAAAUCUCUGCAAACAGGCCAUGUUCACCACAUAAAGUGGCUUAAAAUUAAAGGAAAUAUCUAUGUCUAAUAAAAUGACUGGUUUAGUAAAAUGGUUUGAUGCUGGUAAAGGUUUUGGUUUUAUUUCUCCAGAAGAUGGCAGCAAAGAUGUAUUCGUACAUUUCUCCGCAAUCCAAGGUAACGAUUUUAAAACCUUAGACGAAGGGCAAAAAGUGGAAUUCUCCAUUGAGAGUGGUGCUAAAGGCCCGUCUGCUGCCAAUGUUAUCGCGCUUUAACGGCCGAUAAGUUCGCUAAAGUUU